rnacentral:lncRNA from 1 species
ACUCGAGCUGCAGAAAUUAACAUUGCCGGGUGACAGAUCAUGUGUGUGUGACUGAAGCUCCUCAGCGUCCGGGGAGAAGGGCAGAGUCCACCUGGGGAAGGAAACGCCAUCGUUGGUGCUUUUCAGUUAAUGAAGAGAGUACGUCCAAGCAGGUCUGCUCAGGCAAAAAUAGGGCACUAGGAAGCUAAAUUGCUUUGCUGAGAGGGGAAGAAAUGCAUUUUUUUCAAAUUGGGCAGAUGUCAGAGUAAGGUUACAGGAUCGAACAGCAAGUCCGUGCACAACGGAACAGCUAACUACUCCCUAGGAAGAGACAGAGACAACUAUUUCCACGAGAGCCAGGUUUCCCGGUUUCUGAGUAACUGGAGUUUCUGGUUAGCAUGAACGUGGUCUCAAGUUCGGUGUUGGAAAAGUAAGCUCCUUUGUAUGGGUUUUUGAUGUGUUCCUAAAAUUUGCAAGUCUAGUCUCCUGGGCGAGGUCAGGAAGGUCUGGCACUGGAUCCUCUCUGGCCUCAGGACUCCCUUGGAAGUACCAACAGCAGGAUCUCCCCUCCAGGCUGAGAUCGUUUCCUCCUCCAAACCGGUCCUGUUCCUGCUUGUCCACGAUCAGCCUGGGAAAGAGGCUCUUCUCCGUAGUCUUCGGGGGAUUAUGCUUUUGCAUUUGUAGCUUCAUGGGGAAAAAGGAAGAUUCUUCUCAGAAUGAAGGAGGGAGAAGGAAGAAAGAGCAUGCAUUGGAGUAAAAAAGACAGUUGGAUGAAAUUUCUUUUGAGUGGAAUACGAGGGAGGGGUUGAAGGAAACCUUCAUCAAUCCUACUCACAUCUCGGUGUUCUCGGUCCCACUGGACUCCUUUCAGAAACUGGUGAAGGGGCUGAAUUCUGAGUGCAGGUCACAUAGAGGUUGAAAAAGAAUUAACUUAGGAACACAGAUUGUUUUACAUUUCUUUUAAUGCUAAAAUUAGGUUUUAAUUGAAAAAUUUAUGCUGUACUUUUGGUAUCAAUUAAAG